GGGCCCAUAGCUCAGCGGUGAGAGCAACCGGCUCAUAACCGGGAGGUCCCAGGUUCGAAUCCUGGUGGGCCCACCA
rnacentral:tRNA from 1 species